rnacentral:rRNA from 1 species
UACAGAGGUCUCGAGCGUUGUUCGGAUUCAUUGGGCGUAAAGGGUGCGUAGGUGGCGUGGUAAGUCUGGUGUGAAAUCCCGGGGCUCAACCCCCGGAACUGCACUGGAUACUGCCAUGCUUGAGUACUGGAGAGGAGAUUGGAAUUUACGGUGUAGCAGUGAAAUGCGUAGAUAUCGUAAGGAAGACCAGUAGCGAAGGCGAAUCUCUGGACAGUUACUGACACUGAGGCACGAAGGCCAGGGGGAGCAAAACGGG